rnacentral:rRNA from 1 species
CUACGGGGCGCUCCAGUGAGGAAUAUUGCACAAUGGGGGGAACCCUGAUGCAGCAACGCCGCGUGGAGGAUGACGCAUUUCGGUGUGUAAACUCCUUUUAUAUGUCAAGAAAAUGACGGUAGCAUAUGAAUAAGCACCGGCUAACUCCGUGCCAGCAGCCGCGGUAAUACGGAGGGGUGCAAGCGUUACUCGGAAUCACUGGGCGUAAAGGACGCGUAGGCGGGUUGGAAAGUCAGGUGUGAAAUCCUACAGCUUAACUGUAGAACUGCACUUGAAACUUCUAAUCUAGAAUAUGGGAGGGGGAGAUGGAAUUAGUGGUGUAGGGGUAAAAUACGUAGAUAUCACUAGGAAUACCUAAAGCGAAGGCGAUCUCCUGGAACAUUACUGACGCUAAGGCGUGAAAGCGUGGGGAGCAAACAGGAUUAGAUACCCGGGUAGUC